CUGGGAAUCAAUGUGUGAGGUGGUGCUAUGUAGCAGGAACCCCUCUUGCUUUGCAAAUAGUUUUUUGUUUGUUUUCCUUUUUGCCCAAUAGAGCCCUGCUCUACUGACCCUUCAAUGUGCCCGUGUGCCUAAAUAUUCCUGGUCGUGUGAAAAGAACCCAGGUAUUAGCUGAACUAAGGAGCACAAUUCUGCAACAUUUUGGCACCCAAACACGGGGCUUGAGAAAUGGUGAGUAAGAUGCGAACAAAAACGCCCCUUUUUUUCCUUUACCUUCUAAGCCUUUGUGUCGUCGGACUUUUUCUGAGAGUAGGGGAAAUUGUACCUCCCUCCCCUCCACUCCUGUCUCUUCCAGCGGUCGGGAAUAUCAGCCUUUUCCUGUUUUUAAGGGAUAGACAGGUGAACCAGAGGCUCCCUGCUCCCCUCUUAAGUUCCUCGCCCUGCUGGAGGAACCCAUUUCCAUAAGAAUAAGAUUUUCUUCCUGCAGGCAUCUUUCCAACUCUGCACUUUAAACUUUUCUGCCUUUCUCUACCCUGCCAGCAGUUAACUUUUAAGUGAGAGUUUUGUUUUUUUUUUUUCCUUUUAGAAGACAUUUUACUAGGCCAGGAAUUAUAAGGAUCACUGUUUAUAUUCUCUGUAAAGUUUUAAUUAUUAAAAAUGAUUCAUGAGGUUGAUUUUAAUCUGUAGCCAAUCUAGUGUGCUUUGCAUGGCUUUCUGUAUGGUCAGUAGCAACUUUGCCGCAGGUCUCCAUCUAGUUUUACGUCUUUCAAGUGUGACCUGUAACCUCAUGGCAAUGUUUCGUUUAGCCUCCACCAUUUUACAGUGGCAGCUGGGUUCAAUCCUGGCUUAAGGAAUAAACUCCUUCUGAUUUGAUAUCUGGAUGACCUUUGCAAUUUGUUGAUUCUUUUCCCCUCAACAGCCUUGGAUUUUUCUUUCCCUGAGCCUUUAGUAAAGUUUGAAAGCCAGAAAUAUUGGCUGCUCGGCAUAACUAAAACCAGAUAACAAGGGAUUUAAAACAAUUUUCUUAAAGAGCACACAGCUUAAUUAAAAGUGUAUAUCCAAGUUAUAGGCAUAUUUGAAAGGCCUUUAUUUAUUUAAUUUUUUUCCCCCUUGGAUUUUGUUUUGCUGGAAAAAGGGUUUUUUCUCAGUUGGCCGAAUUCUUUUUCUCCAUUUUGUCUUGCCACUCUUGAUGCAUGCACGUGAGGCUCUAAGGUAACUCUGGGGUGCAUGGGACUCCUUGAGAAAAACAGAAGGCACCACUGACCCCUUUUUGGGAAGAAAUCUGUUUUCCUCAUGGAACCCCAGGAAUUAAAAGCAGAUAGAUCCCUCUCAAAAUCUGUUUUUGCUUCCCAAUUAUGCCUGUUUAUUACGCCCUAGAAGCAGCAUGUUUUCCUAGCCCUGUCUCUUAAAGGGAUCCGCCUGGAGGACAAUAAUCCUAUUAGGAGACUGGCAAAUGAAAAACCUUGUGGCUGCUGAGUUUUCUUCUGCCUGGCUGUGUAGUUAUAUAUGUGUUGUAUUUGUGAUGUUUAUAAAAACAGCUCUAAUUAAUUGGCCUAAAGAAAAAUAAGCACUUGGAUCAAAUAUUUUUUAAUGGAAAGAUAAAAGCUGUGGUAGCUUUUAGUUCUCAUGACUUUAAUCUUUGAGAAAUAAAAACAGCCUUAAAGAUUAUUUGGUGAAAUGCAUAUGUCAUCAAAAUUUAAAUAGGUGGACUAAAUUAUGCACGUCAGAUACUAGGUUUGCUAAAUGUUUUAAGGCUAUAAAAUGCUUUUUGAGAAUGAUUCAAUUUGCUGGCUUCACAACUGGUAAGGCCCGGAGACAUAUGUUACUAACCACGCCCUUAGUUGUGCUGGAAGGAGUCAAACCUUGGCUGCCCCUAGCACAUAAUUAAAACAACUUACCAGGUUUUACUUUAAAGGUAAAAAUUGCUAGGAGUUACCAUUAUAACAUGUAAUUGAGACCACUAAAAAUAUAUUUACAUUUGAGUUAUGUGAGAACAGUAAAAUAUGUUUUUAGUAAAAGAUUAUAAGAAGGCAUAGAAAUGUAAAAUUCUGCCUAAGGUUAAAAGAUUGUUUUGAAUUAAAUAAGAUAACAGUAAAAGUUCAAACAAGUUGUGGAAGGAUUGCAAAAAUUAACCUUGCAAAGGAAAUCCCAUGUGUGAACAUAUUGACUAAAUUCAAAGAAUAUUAUAUGGUUUUUCUGUAAAUUCAGCAUUGAAAUAAAAGCAUAACAAGGCACUCUUAAAGCAGUAAGCUACUCUUCAGCAAAAUUUGUAAAGUGUUAUAACAGAUUUUUGCUUUUAGAAUUUCUGAGUCAUCAUUUUAGCAAAGUAAAUAACAUGGUAAUCUGGAAUCCUAUUUCAUAACAUCAAGUAUUUUAAAUCCCUAACAUACUUAACAGCCUUCCCAAAAUCAAACUUCAGUUUCAAAAUUGUCUUUCUUGAUACCAGACUUUUGGAUGCUACAGAGGACACCUGCAGCAUCAAAAAAAGUAAGGUAAAUGGAUUAUCUGGUAUGUUUUAGGUACAUGGGAUUGACAAAACGGUGUUCAAUCCUUUUUCGGUUGUAUUUUUGUGAAUAAUACUAAUAGUACUAAUAAUAAUACUAAUGUAUAGUUCCAAACUUUUAUGGGAUUUAAAAAAUUCUAAUGUUUGAGCAUAUACUAUCAAUCAUAAUUAUAGCUAUUAUGUUAAAUUAUUGUAAACCAUGGAGAUAACCAAAUUUAUUUGUCAAUCAUGUUUCUGACUGCAACUACCCUGGACAUUUUGUUACUCACAAACCAUUGUUGUCUUGUUUUGAUCCUAUCCUCUUCACAUGAUGUUUAUAAUCAGCUAUGGAACUUUGACAGGUGUUCUCAAAUGCAGGCUUCUGAUAACUUUGGAGAUUGUGACAUUGGAAUAAAGGAAAAACAUACAGGGCUCAUGAAAAUUGAAAUGUUCAUGGAUAGCAAGCAAAACAAGAGUUAACUGAAUGGACUGAACUAAUAGAAAACUGAAGUAAUCGUUUUAGCUUUUGCUUGGAAUAUUGCUGAUCAUUAUUUUGUUUUUCAGAGUCCAGGAAACUUAUUUUGAACUAUUUAUGACCUUUAAUAAUUGAGUAAGGUGUACUCCUGUGAACAAAAUUUGGAGCAUUAUUUGUCUCUCUCUGCCUGGCUUCUCCAGAAUUUGGAAACUAAUAUUGAGUAUUCUUAACUUAUGGCAGUAUAGUCAUUUGCAUCAGUGCAAUAAGAAUCCUUUUUCUUUUGCAACAGAAUGCAAUUGGAGAAACUGGUUGUUUUACCAGGCGUUGAUUGGAAAUGUGUGCUUCCCUUUAAGCAGUCAAGCUCAACUUGCAGAACUGAUGGGAACCCCUUGGGAAAACUGGCCUCAAAUGUUUGUCUACACAGUCCACAUACAGGGUUCUUAACCUGCGACUGACCCUGCUUGUGCCUGUGAACCAACCAACAAUCUCUGGCUGCAGCUCAGAAAGGACAAAAGAGAAUGGGUAAUGUAAAAACCUGGAUCAGUAUUUUAGUUCUGAACAAUUAUCCUGCAAAUCCUGCCAGCUGAUGGGAAUAAAUAGGAUGCCCAUGAUCCGGAGGUUUACUUUUUGGGAAAGUAAAACCAAGGGAGCUAACCAAAGUAAAACCCCAUACACCCAAAUCUGAGCAAGCAUAACUAUAGCCACCAGUUAUCUGGGUGUGUCACAAGACACUCUUUUCUUUCCUUUGUUGGAGGAGAACUCAUUUCCACAGCUUCACUUUAGCAUUAUGGCUUAUGUUAAGGAGUCUAUGCAACUUCCAUGCUGAGACACGUUUUUGGUCCCAAAGUUAAUUCCAA
ensembl:lncRNA PURPL p53 upregulated regulator of p53 levels